rnacentral:rRNA from 1 species
UCUUAGCGGCGGACGGGUGAGUAACACGUGAGCAACCCGCCUUUAGCUGGGGAAUAACACUGGGAAACCAGUGCUAAUACCGCAUAACAUCCAAGUGUGGCAUCACAUUUGGAUCAAAGAAGAAAUCCGGCAAAAGAUGGGCUCGCGUCCGAUUAGAUAGUUGGUAGGGUAAAGGCCUACCAAGUCAACGAUCGGUAGCCGGACUGAGAGGUUGACCGCCACAUUGGGACUGAGACACGGCCCAGACUCCUACGGGAGGCAGCAGUGGGGAAUAUUGGGCAAUGGGGGAAACCCUGACCCAGCAACGCCGCGUGAAGGAAGAAGGUCUUCGGAUUGUAAACUUCUUUGAUCAGGGACGA